GCCUCUGUUCACCUCCCUGCUCAAUGUGGUGUGCGCCUACGACCCCGUGGGCUACGGCAUCCCGUACAACCACCUGCUGUUCUCAGACUACCGGGAGCAGCUGGUGGAGCAGGCGGUCCAGAUCCUUAUCGUCACCCUGGAGCACGAGGCUGGCUCGGCCGCCAGCGCCGCCCUCCAGGCCCUGGACCCCUCAACAUGCCCCUCAGCUGAGGAGGAGCAAGAGGUACAUACACCUGGUGGACCCGACAACCUGUUUGUGAAUUAUCUCUCCAGGAUCCACAGAGAGGAGGACUUGAGCUUUGUCCUUAAAGGUCUGGCUCGGCUGCUCAACAACCCUCUCAUCCAGACUUAUCUGCCCCGAUCCACCAAGAAGAUCCAGUUCCACCAGGAGCUGCUGAUCCUCUUCUGGAAAUUCUGCGACUUCAACAAGGUGCGAGCACGAAAUGCA